rnacentral:rRNA from 1 species
UACAGAGGUCUCAAGCGUUGUUCGGAUUCAUUGGGCGUAAAGGGUGCGUAGGCGGCGCGGUAAGUCGGGUGUGAAAUCUCGGAGCUUAACUCCGAAACUGCAUUCGAUACUGCCGUGCUUGAGGACUGGAGAGGAGACUGGAAUUUACGGUGUAGCGGUGAAAUGCGUAGAUGUCGUAAGGAAGACCAGUGGCGAAGGCGAGUCUCUGGACAGCAACUGACGCUGAGGCACGAAGGCCAGGGGAGCAAACGGG